UAUAGAGUGCAUUAUAAAAAUUCUCUGCUAUUGGUUUAGGAUAAAGUACAUACCUGACCUCACACAGGGUCAUACAAAACAGAAAACGUCAGCGAAUAAUCCAAUAUCUGGAGAAAGACCUUCUAAUCUCAAUUGAAGGCUGAGCCAAAUACAGAGGCAGGACCUAAUCUUUCAACUGAGGAUGAUUACCAAGUGGAAGAAGGUGCACCACCCAGAACUACCCAGCUUGCAACCAGAGAAGCAUCUUUAAAUAGAAGGCUUCUGCGUCCUUCUCCUGCAUCCAUUCUUCAGCCUCCAUCCAUCCACCAGGGACGUUGAG
rnacentral:lncRNA from 1 species